CAGAGCCCUCGUGUUGGCGGCGAGCAACCAGAAUGCAGUGGAGAAAAGGUCGAUAUCUUGGUGAGGCUCGGCUUGUUAAAACUCGUAAGUGGUGUAGAGGGGGUGACUACGGAUACAGUCCCCGAAACCUUUAAGCUCAAUGCAUUGAGAUUGAGAGCUCUUCAAAGCCAACUUCAGCAGUUAAUCGUCAUCUCAACGAGUAUGUUGAUCCUUCGACAAAUUAUUGUGAGCGAGAGUCCUGCUCCGUCGCCUUCGGAAGUCGAAAAUAUCAUCGCCAAUUCUCUGCAAAGGCUGACUGAACUGCUUGAGAGUGGAGCCGAUAUCGGGAU
rnacentral:misc_RNA from 1 species